rnacentral:lncRNA from 1 species
AAUGGGCGUGGGAUGCUAAAAAAAACUUGACAUGCUCGGUGAUCUGUAGAUCACAUGAAAGGAUGUGAGGGGAGUCCUUCUGCUUUGGGUAGAAGGUGGUGCCUCCUCUCUUCUUAUCUAGUUAUCUAAAAUUAGAUUCGAAUGCUCUUACCACAUGGCAAGUUUCAGAUGAAUCUAAUUUCAAAAGGGAUGCUAGAAGCAUCCCUUCUCAUGGUGCACGGUGGGAGAAAGGAAUCGAUGUAUCUG